rnacentral:lncRNA from 1 species
UGCAUGUUUUAUAUAAGUAAAAAUUUGUAAAGGGAAUGCUAGAAUGAGCUAUUUCUUUACCCGUUCAGUCUCAAAACUAGAUUUCUAAAUGGAUCAAAGAUACAGCUUUUUCUUGUCUUCGUUGAAUAAGCAACUAAACCAAAAAAUAUCUAAAUUGACGUUCAUGGAAAUUGUAACCUUUUCUCUUUGUAGUUCAAGUAUUAGAACUUUCAGCAGAAAGAGACUUUUGGAGGUCACAAAAAGUUGAUAUUUACCAAGUUGGAUGAUCGUUUUCAGAAUAUCCUUGACUGCCGGGUGGCUUGG